ACCAAACAAAAAAACGCAUCUCCAGAUAAAUCCUCACAACAGACCCACAUUUUCUUGUGAAGAGUACAAAUCCUACAUAAUCUUUUAGCUCAAAUCAUUCUUUGGUAGCCGCCAUCACCACCAGAAGCUUUCACUUACAUUAUCAUUUAUUUUUCUCUCAAACAAAAAUGCAAGCAUCUGCUGUAGCAGCCAUGGCAGCUCACGCCAUCCUUGCCGCUUCCCCUUCUUCUUAUCCUCUCCUUUCCCCUCUCCCAAACCCUAAUAUUAGUCAUCACCCAGCGCUCCAUACUUCAUUCCAUGGUGUCUCCCUCAAGUUCCCUCGCCAAUCGCUAGCUCUAUCUCUCGCCGCCGCCUCCCCCAGGAAACCCCUUGCCGUCGUCGCUGCCACCAAAAAGGCCGUCGCUGUCCUUAAGGGCACCUCCAACGUUGAAGGCGUUGUCACUUUGACCCAAGAAGGCGAUGGUCCCACAACAGUGAAUGUUCGUGUCACAGGACUUACUCCAGGGCCCCAUGGGUUCCACCUACAUGAGUAUGGUGACACAACAAAUGGAUGCAUUUCUACAGGAGCGCAUUUCAAUCCUACUAACAUGACACAUGGGGCUCCUGAGGAUGAAGUCCGUCAUGCGGGUGACCUGGGAAACAUAGUUGCUAAUGCUGAUGGUGUGGCAGAAGCAACAAUUGCGGAUAAACAGAUACCAUUGGAUGGUCCUAACACAGUAAUUGGAAGAGCAUUUGUUGUGCAUGAGCUUGAAGAUGACCUUGGAAAGGGUGGGCAUGAACUUAGUUUGACUACUGGAAAUGCAGGUGGAAGAUUGGCUUGUGGUGUUGUUGGUUUGACUCCAAUAUAAUGGCAGCCAUUGUUCCCUGCUUGUUCUGAACCAGUCUGUUUUGUGCUAUUUGCUGCUUGCAUUUGCUGGUUACCCAUAUAUAGAGUUCAAUGUUAAUUUUCCUAGCCAAUGGUGUAAACUGUCAAGACAGCAAGUAAUAAGUACUGUUUUCAGAUGUGUAUGAUGUUCAUUGGUUUCCCUGCUAAAUAAAGUUGAUUUUCACAGGUGAAAAU
rnacentral:misc_RNA from 1 species